CCAUCAUGAGAAGCAGAUGCAUUAUGGGAUGGGAGGGUAACUUUUGCCUGCCCAAAGGCUAGAUGAAAGAUAAGUACAGUGGUGUAGAAGGAGAAUUUGGACAGAAAUGAAGAAACCUAGAUUUCAAACUGAUGCCUGCCCAAUAUGAGCAAACUGAGCCUUAAGGAAACUAAAUGACUCCUCCCUACCUGUUCGGGGUAUUGCCACCAUUCUGAGACUCAGCAGAUCCUCAUGUGAAAAGCUGAAAUGGGAAACAUGUACCUCAGAACUGAACAGAACUAAAAUUGUGACCUUCAGCUUCUCAGUCAGGAAAAAAAAUGACCAGGAGACAACUAGACAAAUCUGGAUGUAGCAGAGAAUUCACGUGGGAGGAGAAUGGAAGAUAAAUUGGAGAGUAGGUAGGGGAAAGAGCGUCAGUGAAAUAUUUGAACACACACAGAAGAGAGAACAAAGUACAGAAGGCAACACAGACAAGCUGGCGAAUGUUGGUGCUAUAAUAUUAAAUUUAAUACACACUUAAAACUGUCCAGUUUUAUGUGACAUU